UUAAAAAUAAUAAGAUACAAAUUGUGAAAAGGAAAGGUCCCGACAUGUCAUGAGACAGGGAAUCUGCACAGACACCAUUGAGGUCAUUUUCUCUUAGCCAUCUAGCGUUGGACAUGCAGCCACCCUUAAGAGUACUUUAUUUUCUCAGUGAGACUCUUGGAGAAAAAUUGUCAUGUGCAAGUGGCUGUCUAUUCAAGAUAAAGCUGCUGGGUUGGGGAUAGGGAAUGCCACUUCUCCUUUGUGCUCUAGGACCCCAACUGGUACAGAUGAGUGCAGGCCCUGUCCAUUCUGCCUCAGACUGUGUGCGUUCAUAUGUGAUUUGAUCAUGUUGAUGGAGAGGGUCUUGUUUGGUGUUCUCCGUUCCCUCUGGUUCUUACUCUCUUUCUACCUCUUCUAUGGGGUUCCCUGAGGGAGGAGUGGUUGAUAGAGAAAUGCUCUUUAGGGCUGAGUGUCAAAGGCCUCUCUCUCAUUCACUGCUUACGAAGGCCAGUGCUCUGUAGGUCAUUUUAUGUAGAAGUA
rnacentral:lncRNA from 1 species